rnacentral:piRNA from 1 species
UAGAAGGAAAUAGGUCUGGAGAAAGGUGU